GGCAGGAACAGCUGGGGUAGUGUCACCCCUGCUUUGCCAGUGAGGAAGCCAAAGCUCUUCGGGGUCAGGGAGCACCGGAACUGGGACCGACUAGCACCCCAGCCACGGACAGCUGGAGACCAUGCCCCUGUGGCUUGAUUAGGGAGCAUGUCCACACAGGUGGCACUCCUGAGAAGGAGCACUUGUCCUGCAGCAGAGCCUGGCACUCUGUGCUGAUGUGGUCUCAGAGGACACGCGUCUGCCUGCCACUCACUCACCUGCCCCUUGGCCUGGUAAGGUUUCUAUUUGUAGCCUCUCUUACUUUUCCCCUCCUGGACACAGAUGAUGCCUGCAGAGGGCUGUGCCAGCCCUCCACCCACAUGGUCCUUCCUCACCCACCCACCCGCUGGCUGUGUGGCCACCAGCCCUGGCUUGGCAAGUUUCUCUCCUGACCCCAGCCUGAGGCUCACAUUGUAAGGCGCCUCUGGCAUGCCUGUGGGGGCUGCCAGCCUUGCCUGGGAAUUCCCCAGAGUGCCUGCGGGCCCUGAGUCCACCUUGGGGUGGGGCCAGUGGUGCCCCAGGGCAGCCACAG
rnacentral:lncRNA from 1 species